UACGAAGGGUGCAAGCGUUAAUCGGAAUUACUGGGCGUAAAGGGUGCGUAGGCGGUCGUGCAAGUCGGAUGUGAAAUCUCAGGGCUCAACCCUGAAACUGCAUUCGAUACUGCGCGGCUAGAGUGCUGGAGGGGAGACUGGAAUUUACGGUGUAGCAGUGAAAUGCGUAGAUAUCGUAAGGAAGACCAGUGGCGAAGGCGAGUCUCUGGACAGCAACUGACGCUGAGGCACGAAGGCCAGGGGAGCAAACGGU
rnacentral:rRNA from 1 species